AUGAAUAGUCAGUUGAUAUCUUCAAGAAAGCGUGAAAGGGAGAUUGUACGUAAAUUGAUGUAUUGUCUGAACAGGGAGGAACAACGGAUCCAAAGGGUGCGCGAGGAAGAGGAGGCCAGAAAAAGUGAAGAGGAAGAGAGGAAAAAGAGGGAGGAAGCGCAAAUGAAACUCAAACUUGAUGCCAUUGCAGCAAUUCAGAGAGAGAAGGAAAGGGAGGUGGAAAAGAAGAAGGAAAAAGAGAGACGAGAGGCUCUCCUACGAGCAGCAGACCCACCUGAUGUGCACCCUGCUGCUUCCAUCGCACCACCAGCCGCUCCUGGUUCUAACAAGUUCGUCCCGUGGCACAAACGUGCUGGUGAGGGUAGCAGCCAGAGGACGGCUGUUGCACCUGAAGCUGCAGUCCGUUGGGAUGCUCGCCACGAUGCUCCUCAUGCACGGGAAGUGCGUCCCCUCCGCCAGGAUGUGCUCCCGGAAGCAGACCGCUGGAGCAGCCAUGUUGUGCGUCCCCUCUGCCAAGAUGCUCCUCCCGCACACCAAGAAGCGCCCCUAGCCUAG
rnacentral:rRNA from 1 species